GACGAACGCUGGCGGCGUGCUUAACACAUGCAAGUCGAACGGUAAGGCUCCAGCUUGCUGGGGUACACGAGUGGCGAACGGGUGAGUAACACGUGGGUGACCUGCCCUGCACUUCGGGAUAAGCCUGGGAAACUGGGUCUAAUACCGGAUAGGACCAUGGUGUGGAUACUGUGGUGGAAAGUUUUUUCGGUGUGGGAUGGGCCCGCGGCCUAUCAGCUUGUUGGUGGGGUAAUGGCCUACCAAGGCGGCGACGGGUAGCCGGCCUGAGAGGGUGGACGGCCACAUUGGGACCGAGACACGGCCCAGACUCCUACGGGAGGCAGCAGUGGGGAAUAUUGCACAAUGGGCGGAAGCCUGAUGCAGCGACGCCGCGUGGGGGAUGACGGCCUUCGGGUUGUAAACUCCUUUCACCAUCGACGAAGGGUUUCUGACGGUAGAUGGAGAAGAAGCACCGGCUAACUACGUG
rnacentral:rRNA from 1 species